GACGUAGGGUGCGAGCGUUGUCCGGAUUUAUUGGGCGUAAAGAGCUCGUAGGCGGUCUGUCGCGUCGGCUGUGAAAACCCGAGGCUCAACCUCGGGCCUGCAGUCGAUACGGGCAAACUAGAGUACUGCAGGGGAGACUGGAAUUCCUGGUGUAGCGGUGAAAUGCGCAGAUAUCAGGAGGAACACCGGUGGCGAAGGCGGGUCUCUGGGCAGUAACUGACGCUGAGGAGCGAAAGCGUGGGGAGCGAACAGG
rnacentral:rRNA from 1 species